AUUUGCAGUAGACAUUUUAAAAUCUAUGCAGAAUCAAGUAGAAAAACCUUUUGAUAAUGAUAUAUUUCUAGCUGCAUUUUAUGUUGAUGCUAGAUUGGAAGAAAAUACUAUUAGAAGAAAACCAGAUAAUACAAGCAAAGCAAGGCUUAAAAACAAUAGCAUAAAAAAUUUAUAAAAAAGAUGCCAAGAAUAUAAAAGAAAGUCGAGAAAUAAGAACAACUGUUGUGCUAUCUACAGUAUUUCUUUCAAGUUUAAGUGAAUCUAAUUCCCAUGAAAAAGAGGAUGAGUUUGAAAAGGAGUUUGAUAAAAAAAGAAAAAAAGGAUAAUGGAAGAAAUGGGACGUUUAAAAGUGAGUUCAGCAGUAUAUAUAUAUUGCUGUUUGGGGAUCCUUUUAUAUAUGAUAAAUGAAAAAUUUUAUGAAAUCAUACUAAGAAA